GAUGAACGCUGGCGGCGUGCCUAAUACAUGCAAGUCGAGCGAACGGACGAGAAGCUUGCUUCUCUGAUGUUAGCGGCGGACGGGUGAGUAACACGUGGAUAACCUACCUAUAAGACUGGGAUAACUUCGGGAAACCGGAGCUAAUACCGGAUAAUAUUUUGAACCGCAUUGUUCAAAAGUGAAAGACGGUCUUGCUGUCACUUAUAGAUGGAUCCGCGCUGCAUUAGCUAGUUGGUAAGGUAACGGCUUACCAAGGCAACGAUGCAUAGCCGACCUGAGAGGGUGAUCGGCCACACUGGAACUGAGACACGGUCCAGACUCCUACGGGAGGGAGCAGUAGGGAAUCUUCCGCAAUGGGCGAAAGCCUGACGGAGCAACGCCGCGUGAGUGAUGAAGGUCUUCGGAUCGUAAAACUCUGUUAUUAGGGAAGAAAAUAUGUGUAAGUAACUGUGCACAGCUUGACGGUACCUAAUCAGAAAGCCACGGCUAACUACGUG
rnacentral:rRNA from 1 species